rnacentral:tRNA from 1 species
GCCGCGGUCGCAUAGCCUGGCCAUUGCGGUGGAUUGCUAAUUCACUGUCCGAAAGGGCACGGGAGUUCAAAAACUGCAAACUCAGUUUACACGUUAGGUCGGCAUGAAGCCGACCAGUGCGCUUCGCGCAUAACGGGAUUGCAGCUUGAAAGUCUCCCCCGCGGCG